GCUUGAGGGGCUUGCUCCUCAAGUUAGUGGCGAACGGGUGAGUAGUGCAUCGGAACGUACCCAGUCGUGGGGGAUAACGUAGCGAAAGUUACGCUAAUACCGCAUACGCCCUAUGGGGGAAAGCAGGGGAUCGCAAGACCUUGCGCGAUUGGAGCGGCCGAUGUCUGAUUAGCUAGUUGGUGGGGUAAAGGCCCACCAAGGCGACGAUCUGUAGCGGGUCUGAGAGGAUGAUCCGCCACACUGGGACUGAGACACGGCCCAGACUCCUACGGGAGGCAGCAGUGGGGAAUUUUGGACAAUGGGCGCAAGCCUGAUCCAGCCAUGCCGCGUGAGUGAAGAAGGCCUUCGGGUUGUAAAGCUCUUUCAGCCGGAAAGAAAUCGUGCAACCUAAUACGCUGUGCGGAUGACGGUACCGGAAGAAGAAGCACCGGCUAACUACGUGCCAGCAGCCGCGGUAAUACGUAGGGUGCGAGCGUUAAUCGGAAUUACUGGGCGUAAAGCGUGCGCAGGCGGUUUUGUAAGACAGACGUGAAAUCCCCGGGCUUAACCUGGGAACUGCGUUUGUGACUGCAAGGCUAGAGUGCGGCAGAGGGGGGUAGAAUUCCACGUGUAGCAGUGAAAUGCGUAGAUAUGUGGAGG
rnacentral:rRNA from 1 species